UAGGCUGUAAUUUAAUGGUAAUAAUCGUGUUUGAUGUUGGUUCGAAUCCUGCCAGCCUAG
rnacentral:tRNA from 1 species